rfam:Candidatus Levybacteria bacterium RIFCSPLOWO2_01_FTLL_39_24 rifcsplowo2_01_scaffold_958, whole genome shotgun sequence.
GGAGGAGUCGCAUAGUCCGGUCAAUUGCGGAGCUUUGCUAAAGCUCUGAGCCGAAAGGCUCACGCAGGUUCGAAUCCUGUCUCCUCCG